AUUUUUUUUUUCCUUUCUUUCUCUCUCAGCCCUUGGAGCAGAGAAGUGAAGAAAAGCUUGUGAAGUUGAGUUUUCUUGUUGUUGGAGCUAAGAAGAAACUCUGUGGGACUGAAAAGAAGGCUUUUGGAGCUGAGAAAUCCCUUGGGGAAGCUUUAAAUCCAGGAGCUGCCGAAGUGGGAAACCAGCUGAGGAAGCUUGGAGUUCGAGAAAUUCAAGUAGAAGCUGUUGGUGGGAUGCCUUGUGGAGGUUUUGGGCGCCCAGAUUGAGAGAGGACCUGAGGGAGCUUCUUUGGUGUUUCGAAUUUCAGAAAAUCUGGUGGAGCCUUGAAGCUAGGGCUGAGAGGGGAAAUGUUGAAGUGCUGAAAUUACAACUUUGGUGGAGCUUCUUUUGGUGUUCUGAGCUGAAAGGAAGCUUUAGAAAGCUGAGAGCAACUUAGUAAAGCUUCUAAUUCA